GUGGGGAAUCUUAGACAAUGGGCGCAAGCCUGAUCUAGCCAUGCCGCGUGAGCGAUGAAGGCCUAGGGUUGUAAAGCUCUUUCAGUGGGGAAGAUAAUGACUGUACCCACAGAAGAAGCCCCGGCUAACUCCGUGCCAGCAGCCGCGGUAAUACGGAGGGGGCUAGCGUUGUUCGGAAUUACUGGGCGUAAAGCGCACGUAGGCGGACUGGAAAGUCAGGGGUGAAAUCCCGGGGCUCAACCCCGGAACUGCCUUUGAAACUCCCAGUCUUGAGGUCGAGAGAGGUGAGUGGAAUUCCGAGUGUAGAGGUGAAAUUCGUAGAUAUUCGGAGGAACACCAGUGGCGAAGGCGGCUCACUGGCUCGAUACUGACGCUGAGGUGCGAAAGCGUGGGGAGCAAACAGGAUUAGAAACCCGUGUAGUCC
rnacentral:rRNA from 1 species